CAGCACGGUGUAGCAAUACACUGGUGGCGACCGGCGCACGGGUGCGUAACGCGUAUGCAACCUACCCAUAACAGGGGGAUAACCCGGAGAAAUCCGGACUAAUACCCCAUGAUAUGGGCGCUCCGCAUGGAGGGUCCAUUAAAGAGAGCAAUCUUGGUUACAGACGAGCAUGCGCUCCAUUAGCCAGUUGGCGGGGUAACGGCCCACCAAGGCGACGAUGGAUAGGGGUUCUGAGAGGAAGGUCCCCACAUUGGAACUGAGACACGGUCCAAACUCC
rnacentral:rRNA from 1 species